AAAUACUGAUGAGAAUGGAUUCAGAGCUGAAUGGAGGAUGGGAUAUGCAGCCAGCAUAUUUGGGAAAGUUGUUCGAAAACUUGAAAAUUCUUCCAUCUGUGCUUCCCGCCUCCACGUCGUUUACCUGUGAAUUUUUGUUUUUCAGUUGUGAGAGUCGAAUGAGGUUUAUUUGUUUUUACUGAGCUGUUAAUUUCCAGCUGAAGGGUGCUGAAUGUUCUGCAAGCAGAGACCUUGACAUUGCUGCUGGGAGAACUUUGUGGGAAAGACUCAGCCUGGCGCCAGGGUUGAGCCUCUUGCUGUCAUUUGCUUUCCGGGCACAGUAGAGCUCGGCAGCAUUGUUUAACCUUUUGGAAGCUGUGUAUGAAAUUUACAUUAGCAGGGUGUUGCUGUUCAGUUGCAAACCAUUUAUCCCAUGAAUAUCAAUGUGGCCGUUUGCUCUGAGAAAUUAUCUUCUUUCUGUUGAGAGGAGCCAAGGAAUCCAUAAAAAGGGAUCCCACUGCUGGAGCGUGACUUGGAGAUUCCCGCCAUUGCUGCCCAGUAAUGACACUAAAGGAGAAGUUACGUUGUCACAGAAACAUAGGGAUGAAUAUCCUGUAAGUACACAACAGACUGUGUGAUUCUGGAUGGUUUGGGGAAGAUUGGGCCUGA
rnacentral:lncRNA from 1 species